rnacentral:misc_RNA from 1 species
CCGGGUCUAAUACCCCCAAACCACUGUGAACCGUACCUAUACGUUGCCUCGGCGGCGCCUCUCGCGGGGCCCGCCGGCGGCCAAGCACACUGCAUCUAUAAAGUGUCAUCUCUGAGAAACAAGAAAAUAAGUCA